GGCUGGGUGAACACUGCCAAGGAUGACAUGUCACGAUGUGAUAAGGUUUAACAUUCCUGGAAAAAUCUGGAUAGAUCCUGUUAAACUCUCCUUCAGAGACGGGUGUGCCAACUUCCAACCCAUUGUUCAGGAUACAGUCAUGGCAACGAGAGCUGGAGGAGGAGCUGGUCUCAUCGCAUCCUUAGUCGGGAAGCAGAGAGAUCUGUACGUUGACAAGCUCACGUUCUUAUUCAGUCCAGCUCCCCAGCCCAUGGAACGGUGAUGCUCACCUCAGGGUGGGUCUUCUCAUCUUAAUUAAUGUAAUUUAGAAACUCACAUUCAUGCUCAGAGAUUUGUCUACUAGAUGAUUCCAGAUCCUGUCAAGUUGGCAAUGUUAACUGCAUCACAGUGUCUUAAAAUGUUUUCUUUUCUUUUA